rnacentral:rRNA from 1 species
GGAGUUAGCCGGUGCUUCUUCUGUGAGUGAUGUCCUUCCUGCCGGCUAUUAACCCGCAGGCCUUCUUCCUCACUGAAAGUGCUUUACAACCCGAAGGCCUUCUUCACACACGCGGCAUGGCUGGAUCAGGGUUGCCCCCAUUGUCCAAUAUUCCCCACUGCUGCCUCCCGUAGGAGUCUGGGCCGUGUCUCAGUCCCAGUGUGGCUGAUCAUCCUCUCAGACCAGCUACGGAUCGUCGCCUUGGUGAGCCGUUACCUCACCAACCAGCUAAUCCAACAUAGGCUCAUCCGAUAGCGCGAGGCCCGAAGGUCCCCCGCUUUCCCCCGUAGGGCGUAUGCGGUAUUAGCCUGGGUUUCCCCAGGUUAUCCCCCACUACCGGGCAGAUUCCUAUGCAUUACUCACCCGUCCGCCGCUCGCCACCAGGGAGCAAGCUCCCCGUGCUGCCGCUCGACUUGCAUGUGUUAGGCCUGCCGCCAGCGUUCAAUCUGAGCCAGAAUCAAACUCUGA